rnacentral:rRNA from 1 species
UACGAAGGGUGCAAGCGUUAAUCGGAAUUACUGGGCGUAAAGCGUGCGUAGGUGGUUUGUUAAGUCUGCUGUGAAAGCCCUGGGCUCAACCUGGGAAUGGCGGUGGAUACUGACAAGCUAGAGUGCGGUAGAGGAGGGUGGAAUUCCCGGUGGAGCGGUGAAAUGCGUAGAGAUCGGAAAGAACACCAACGGCGAAAGCACUCUGCUGGGCCGACACUGACACUGAGAGACGAAAGCUAGGGGAGCGAAUGGG